UGGGGAAUUUUGGACAAUGGGCGAAAGCCUGAUCCAGCAAUGCCGCGUGUGUGAAGAAGGCCUUCGGGUUGUAAAGCACUUUUGUCCGGAAAGAAAUCCUUGGCUCUAAUACAGUCGGGGGAUGACGGUACCGGAAGAAUAAGCACCGGCUAACUACGUGCCAGCAGCCGCGGUAAUACGUAGGGUGCGAGCGUUAAUCGGAAUUACUGGGCGUAAAGCGUGCGCAGGCGGUUUGCUAAGACCGAUGUGAAAUCCCCGGGCUCAACCUGGGAACUGCAUUGGUGACUGGCAGGCUAGAGUAUGGCAGAGGGGGGUAGAAUUCCACGUGUAGCAGUGAAAUGCGUAGAGAUGUGGAGGAAUACCGAUGGCGAAGGCAGCCCCCUGGGCCAAUACUGACGCUCAUGCACGAAAGCGUGGGGAGCAAACAGGAUUAGAUACCCCGGUAGUCCACGCCCUAAACGAUGUCAACUAGUUGUUGGGGAUUCAUUCCUUAGUAACGUAGCUAACGCGUGAAGUUGACCGCCUGGGGAGUACGGUCGCAAGAUUAAAACUCAAAUGAAUUGACGGGGUCAUAGCUGUUUCCU
rnacentral:rRNA from 1 species